AAAUGGGCUAUCCCGGGGUUGCCCAUUUGCCCCAUCUCACUACUCCAAUCAAACAAAAUACUAUUUUACCCACUAUCCUUCUUAUCCCACCUACUCCAACUAAAUACUGUUUUAUCUAUAUCUGACUAAACCCAAUUCUCAACCAAACACAAAAUUAUUCUAACCCCACCUUAACCCUGAACUUAACUCUAUCCCUGGAAUAAUAAGUUUUUACUUAACCCCGAACCAAACGGUGGCUUGAUGUUCGACCUGACGGAGUUCAGCACGGCAUCGCCGAUGUCUAUGGCG
rnacentral:lncRNA from 1 species